AGGGGUGAGAAGAGUGACAAACGGGUGAGUAAAACGUGGUGAUCUGCCUCAGAGUGGGGGAUAACGACCCGAAAGGGUCGCUAAUACCGCAUAACAUCCUGCCUUUGGAUAGGUGGAGAUCAAUGCCGGGGAUCCGCAAGGACCUGGCGCUAGAGAGGAGCCCGCGGCCGAUUAACUAGUUGGGGAGGUAACGGCUCACCAUGGCGACGAUCGGUAUCCGGCCCGAGAGGGCGGACGGACACACUGGGACCGAGACACGGCCCAGACUCCUACGGGAGGCAGCAGUGAGGAAUUGUUCGCAAAGGGCGCAAGCCUGACUACGCAACGCCGCGUGGAGUACCAGAUCUUCGGGUCGUAAACUCCUUUCGAGCGGGAAGAAUGGCUCCAGGGUUAAUAACCCUGGAGAAUGACGGUACCGAGAGAAGAAGCCCCGGCUAACUCCGUGCCAUCAGCCGCGGUAAUACGGGGGGGGCAAGCGUCAUUCGGAAUUACUGGGCGUAAAGGGCUAGUAGGCGGCCAACUAAGUCCCGACGUGAAAUCCCAAGGCUGAACCUUGGAACUGCGUCGGAUACAGGAUGGCUUGAAUUCGGGAGAGGGAUGCAGAAUUCCCGGUGUAGCGGUGAGUGCGUAGAUAUCUGGAGGAAUACCGGUGGCGAACCCGGCAUCCU
rnacentral:rRNA from 1 species